GCUGGAUCUCUGAUGGCUCCCUCAUGGAUCUCUGCGUCUCUCAGCGAGCGUUGCAGCCAGGUUGCCAGACUCUCUUGCAUUUGUGAUUCAGCCGCUGAGGCGUGCAGGAGUGGCUCCGCUUCACAAAGUGCACUGUGUCUUCGGAGCUGUGCUUGAAACGAGGGGAAAAGAAGGACACUGAAGACACGUGGAGGAUUGUGAAGAGGAACAUCAGCCUUUGCAUGUUAUUAAGGCGGAGGAGCAUGGCUGUCCAUCGUCUGUGCCUACACAUACUGAAUCCUACAGCAGCGCUGGGCUCAGAGAGAGGCCUGAAGCAGGAGGUUUAGCCAGAGGGGGGGGUUAAUUGAAGUCAGCCAUGUGGACCACUCCUAGUCCAGUGCAUCAAGAUUUUGAGUGUUCCUUUAAAAACAUCUUGAUUGUUGUGCAUCAGACGAGGAAGGCACAUGAACAGCUGUGAAGGGAGGAAACUAGGACGCACUUUUUUUUAGUCAAAGCAGAUCAGGAGGACGUGCACUGAGAAGAGGAAGGGCUGAGAUGACAGAGUUGGAUGGAAGAGGAGGAAUGAAACUCUGUUUGUUGUGUCGCUCUCAUCCUCAGACGGGGCUUUGAAGCCUCUCUAUCAGUGGUGUGCACACACACCUCAGAUCAGAGCAGGAGAAGCUGAUUUAACGGAGCCGUCUGUGCGUCAGCUGUCCUGCUA